UACGGGGGGGGCAAGCGUUGUUCGGAAUUACUGGGCGUAAAGGGCUCGUAGGUGGCCAACUAAGUCAGACGUGAAAUCCCUCGGCUUAACCGGGGAACUGCGUCUGAUACUGGAUGGCUUGAGUUCGGGAGAGGGAUGCGGAAUUCCAGGUGUAGCGGUGAAAUGCGUAGAUAUCUGGAGGAACACCGGUGGCGAAGGCGGCAUCCUGGACUACUACUGACGCUGAGUGAGCGAAAGCCAGGGGAGCAAACGGG
rnacentral:rRNA from 1 species